ensembl:lncRNA
CUCAGACCACCAUCCUACCAGCUGUGAGAGUUCCUUCAAACUGUCAGAGAGAUUUCAGCCUGUUGAUGUUUGACCCUGAUGGAGACGAAGUUAAAUGCAGAUAUGGAAACUCUGCACUCUCAGAGUGUAACCCCUGCACUCCACCCUCUGUCCUCAGCCUCUCAUCGUCGUCUUGUACUCUGUCAUUCAGCCCCACCAGCAGCAGUAAUGAAGGUUCGUAUGUAGUACAGCUGGUGAUGGAGGACUUCCCCAGACAGACCAUCACUCUGACUCAAACCAACGGGACACAAACAAUAAUAACUACCAACGAUGCCAUCAGCAAAAUACCGAUUCAGUUUGCUUUGAAAGAUAUUUGUCAUGGCUGUUGAAGAUAAGCAGGAAUAGUGGACCUGAGAGCUGAACUCGAGGAGGCAAAGUGAACUCAAAACAUGCGGCAUUAUUUUGAUCCUGCAGUGCCAUCCUGCACAGAAGGACUCUUUCUGCCCAAGUUUCUUCCUCCAACACCAGCCAACGGAGCUCAGCUCUACAACAAUGUCAGUCAGACUCUGGAAAUUAACAUCAAUGCAGAGGCACUUAACUCCACGUAAGUAAAAACGAAAAAAAAAAA